rnacentral:other from 1 species
ACGGGGCUGCGAGGUGCGUCAGGCACGCAUGUUCCCCGGGGCGAUAAUAACUCCUCGGGAGCUGUCCCUAUCGGUGCCCUGGCAUCGACAUACGGCGCCCACCUGCUGUUAGCGGGCCACGGAGGAAAGCAACGUCAACGGCCGCUGCGGCUCCGUC